rnacentral:rRNA from 1 species
CCUACGGGUGGCUGCAGUGAGGAAUAUUGGUCAAUGGGCGCGAGCCUGAACCAGCCAAGUCGCGUGAGGGAAGACGGUCCUAUGGAUUGUAAACCUCUUUUGUCGGGGAGCAAAAGACGCCACGCGUGGCGUUCCGAGAGUACCCGAAAAAAAAGCAUCGGCUAACUCCGGGCCAGCAGCCGCGGUAAUACGGAGGAUGCGAGCGUUAUCCGGUUUUAUUGGGUUUAAAGGGUGCGCAGGCGGAGGACCAAGUCAGCGGUAAAAUUGAGGGGCUCAACCCCUUCGAGCCGUUGAAACUGGGUUCCUUGAGUGAGCGAAAAGUAUGCGGAAUGCGUGGUGUAGCGGUGAAAGGCAUAGAUAUCACGCAGAACUCCGAUUGCGAAGGCAGCAUACCGGCGCUCAACUGACGCUCAUGCACGAAAGUGGGGGUAUCGAACAGGAUUAGAGACCCUGGUAGUC